AGAUAUGGGUGACUAAUACUU
rnacentral:miRNA from 1 species